AUAAUGGGUCAGCGACUUAUAUUCUGUAGCAAGGUUAACCGAAUAGGGGAGCCGAAGGGAAACCGAGUCUUAACUGGGCGUUAAGUUGCAGGGUAUAGACCCGAAACCCGGUGAUCUAGCCAUGGGCAGGUUGAAGGUUGGGUAACACUAACUGGAGGACCGAACCGACUAAUGUUGAAAAAUUAGCGGAUGACUUGUGGCUGGGGGUGAAAGGCCAAUCAAACCGGGAGAUAGCUGGUUCUCCCCGAAAGCUAUUUAGGUAGCGCCUCGUGAAUUCAUCUCCGGGGGUAGAGCACUGUUUCGGCAAGGGGGUCAUCCCGACUUACCAACCCGAUGCAAACUGCGAAUACCGGAGAAUGUUAUCACGGGAGACACACGGCGGGUGCUAACGUCCGUCGUGAAGAGGGAAACAACCCAGACCGCCAGCUAAGGUCCCAAAGUCAUGGUUAAGUGGGAAACGAUGUGGGAAGGCCCAGACAGCCAGGAUGUUGGCUUAGAAGCAGCCAUCAUUUAAAGAAAGCGUAAUAGCUCACUGGUCGAGUCGGCCUGCGCGGAAGAUGUAACGGGGCUAAACCAUGCACCGAAGCUGCGGCAGCGACACUGUGUGUUGUUGGGUAGGGGAGCGUUCUGUAAGCCUGCGAAGGUGUGCUGUGAGGCAUGCUGGAGGUAUCAGAAGUGCGAAUGCUGACAUAAGUAACGAUAAAGCGGGUGAAAAGCCCGCUCGCCGGAAGACCAAGGGUUCCUGUCCAACGUUAAUCGGGGCAGGGUGAGUCGACCCCUAAGGCGAGGCCGAAAGGCGUAGUCGAUGGGAAACAGGUUAAUAUUCCUGUACUUGGUGUUACUGCGAAGGGGGGACGGAGAAGGCUAUGUUGGCCGGGCGACGGUUGUCCCGGUUUAAGCGUGUAGGCUGGUUUUCCAGGCAAAUCCGGAAAAUCAAGGCUGAGGCGUGAUGACGAGGCACUACGGUGCUGAAGCAACAAAUGCCCUGCUUCCAGGAAAAGCCUCUAAGCAUCAGGUAACAUCAAAUCGUACCCCAAACCGACACAGGUGGUCAGGUAGAGAAUACCAAGGCGCUUGAGAGAACUCGGGUGAAGGAACUAGGCAAAAUGGUGCCGUAACUUCGGGAGAAGGCACGCUGAUAUGUAGGUGAAGUCCCUCGCGGAUGGAGCUGAAAUCAGUCGAAGAUACCAGCUGGCUGCAACUGUUUAUUAAAAACACAGCACUGUGCAAACACGAAAGUGGACGUAUACGGUGUGACGCCUGCCCGGUGCCGGAAGGUUAAUUGAUGGGGU
rnacentral:rRNA from 1 species